CAGAUAGUCACUCAAGGGCUUUGUUUGCCCAUAACAAUCAGUGUACAUAUGCGUGGGUGGCAGCACUGCAAGCUUCCCCACACUAUCUUGCCAAUGUGCCUCUGACUUGAGGUGGAGGAAGAUCUCUCUGGAGGUGAGAAUAUAAUUCUAUCUUCAGUGGUCUAUUCAGUCUUGUGCUUGU
rnacentral:sRNA from 1 species